rnacentral:snoRNA from 1 species
UGGCGAUGAUGACUAUCUUAGGACACCUUUGGAAUAAUCAUGAAACAAAUAUGGAUUCUGAGCCAC